AUGGAUUACAAUUGCAAAACUGAUCUUGUUGUGAACAACCUUAGUGAGGUUUUCAACAAAAUGAUCCUUGAUGUUAGGGCCAAACCAAUUAGGACUAUGUUUGAAGGAAUUAGGACUAAGCAGAUGAUCAAAAGGCAGAAGACUAGGGAAAAGACAGAGACCAGCAGGUGGAUGAUCACACCCAACUAUUCAGAGAAACUAGAGGAGAAUAAGAAGUAUGCCAAGUUUUGUGAGGCACAUAGGGCUGGUCCUGACAUCUGGCAAGUGUCUAGUGGUGAAAAUCAGUACUCUGUGAACAUAGCUACUAACUCAUGUGACAGCAGGAGGUGGGAUAUGACAGGUGUGACAUGCAGUCAUGCAAUAGCAGCAAUGAGCAAACUUCACAUGCACUCAGAGGACUAUGUGCAUGAAUUUUUCAAGAAACCACUAUAUAUUGAAGCAUACAAAGACAUAGUGUACCAUGUCCCUGGUCUUGAAUUCUGGCCUGACACACACACUCAGGAUAUUGAGCCCCCAGUGUUCAAAUAA
rnacentral:rRNA from 1 species